rnacentral:rRNA from 1 species
GACGAACGCUGGCGGCGUGCUUAACACAUGCAAGUCGAACGGAAAGGCCCUGCUUUUGUGGGGUGCUCGAGUGGCGAACGGGUGAGUAACACGUGAGUAACCUGCCCUUGACCUUGAGAUAACUUCAGGAAACUGGGGCUAAUACCGGAUAGGAGCUCCUGCUGCAUGGUGGGGGUUGGAAAGUUUCGGCGGUUGGGGAUGGACUCGCGGCUUAUCAGCUUGUUGGUGGGGUAGUGGCUUACCAAGGCUUUGACGGGUAGCCGGCCUGAGAGGGUGACCGGCCACAUUGGGACUGAGAUACGGCCCAGACUCCUACGGGAGGCAGCAGUGGGGAAUAUUGCACAAUGGGCGGAAGCCUGAUGCAGCAACGCCGCGUGCGGGAUGACGGCCUUCGGGUUGUAAACCGCUUUCGCCUGUGACGAAGCGUGAGUGACGGUAAUGGGUAAAGAAGCACCGGCUAACUACGUG